GACGAACGCUGGCGGCGUGCUUAACACAUGCAAGUCGAACGGAAAGGCCCUGCUUUUGUGGGGUGCUCGAGUGGCGAACGGGUGAGUAACACGUGAGUAACCUGCCCUUGACUUUGGGAUAACUUCAGGAAACUGGGGCUAAUACCGGAUAGGAGCUCCUGCUGCAUGGUGGGGGUUGGAAAGUUUCGGCGGUUGGGGAUGGACUCGCGGCUUAUCAGCUUGUUGGUGGGGUAGUGGCUUACCAAGGCUUUGACGGGUAGCCGGCCUGAGAGGGUGACCGGCCACAUUGGGACUGAGAUACGGCCCAGACUCCUACGGGAGGCGGCAGUGGGGAAUAUUGCACAAUGGGCGGAAGCCUGAUGCAGCAACGCCGCGUGCGGGAUGACGGCCUUCGGGAUGUAAACCGCUUUCGCCUGUGACGAAGCGUGAGUGACGGUAAUGGGUAAAGAAGCACCGGCUAACUACGUG
rnacentral:rRNA from 1 species